rnacentral:lncRNA from 1 species
GAGAGAAAGCCGAGAUAUCAGGCAGAGUUCCAGGGAGACAUGCAUGAAGCACACAACAAAUAUUGUGUGGACAGGGAUUGAGCCUGAUGGAGUUAAAAGGGCAAUCUUUUGUGUGAUUGGCCAGGAUGACGAGUUUUCAACAUUUGACUUUCCAUCCUAAACUUGAACAUCACAAUAUUAACCUCACCUGCAGAGUCAUUUUUCAAGAAAACAUCCAGACUGAAAGUACUGUCAUCCUCAAAGACGUAUGUAUCAUUUCACUUACAGUAUAACACAUCAAUAUUACUACUAAAAAUGUAAAUAGUAAAACACUGGUCAUUUCGGUGCUAGAAAUGUUUGUGUUAGAUUAGUGAGUUUACUGUUAAGCAUUGGUGAUGUAAUCCAAAUAUUGUGCAAUAACGUUGAGCAACGAUGAGUUGCUGAAAUUAGAAACGGAUGAAGAGCAAGGAAAACGCAACCAAUCUUAUCAGAAUAAAAACUACUGUCACAUCAGGGUUUUUGAGCUCUUCAAAUAGUGGGUAAGCAAUUUAUUUCAACAUCUCUCAUUAACGGUUUUAUAAAUACAAAUCGUGUUUAUAUUUCUCCUUCCUCAAAAGUGUAAACAUCUAUCAAAGUAGAAGACAACAUCACUGGAGAGGACGGUUUGUGCAUCAUAGUGUUCUGUGUUGUCACUAUCCCUGAAAGUGUCUCAGAUCCCAUUAGGACAACCUGGUUCAAAGGAGAUCCACAAAACCUGUCUGUUGAAGUUUCUAAUUUUAAGAGAAAUAUUGGAUUUCCUCAAAAUGAGAAAGAGUGCAGCUUUUCGCUAAACCACUUGGUUCAGGGCAAAUCUGAUGGUGAAUACAGAUUAAAACUGGAGUGGGGAGAAGGAAACAUGUAUAUCUUUCCUCAGACAGUAAAUAUUACUGUUAAAGAGCUUACCCAGAAACCAACAAUAAACGUCCCACUGCUCACAGCGGGAGAGAAGGCCGAGAUAUCAUGUAAAGUUCCAGGGGACUGCUUACUACCCUUAGCAGAUAUUGUGUGGACAGGCAUUAGGCCUAAUAAUACUAGACUUGGAGCUCGUGGAGUGCCUGGCAGGAGUGAGCACUUUUCUAUAAUGACUUUUUAUCCUAAGCCUGAACAUCACAAUACUGAGCUCACCUGCACAGUGACACUUCAAGGACGUAUUCGGACUGAAAGUACUGUCAUCCUCAAAGUAAGACAUUCCCCAGUAAUCCUGAACAGCUCUCGUGUUUUGUUGUGGGGUGAUGAACUGAGAUGCAUGUGUGUCAGCAGUGCUGUGCCGUCACCCCCAGAUAUCCUGGCCAGUAUUGAAAGAUAG